rnacentral:rRNA from 1 species
CACAAGUAGAGUGAUCGAAAGAUGAAAAGCACUUUGGAAAGAGAGUCAAAAAGCACGUGAAAUUGUUGAAAGGGAAGCGCUUGCAGCCAGACGUGCCCGCAGUUGCUCACCCGGGCGCAUGCCCGGCGCACUCUUCUGUGGGCAGGCCAGCAUCGGUUCGGGCGGUUGGAGAAAGGCCCCGGGAACGUGGCUCCCCCCGGGGAGUGUUAUAGCCCGGGGCGCCCUGCGGCCAGCCCGGACCGAGGACCGCGCGUAAGCUAGGAUGCUGGCGUAAUGGACGCAAGCGGCCCGUCUUGAAACACGGACCAAGGAGUCUAACAUCCAUGCGAGUGUUUGGGUGUCAAGCCCGGGCGCGCAAUGAAAGUGAACGGAGGUGGGAACCCCCCGCGGGCGCACCAUCGACCGAUCCUGAUGUCUUCGGAUGGAUUUGAGUAAGAGCAUGGCUGUUGGGACCCGAAAGAUGGUGAACUAUGCUUGAAUAGGGUGAAGCCAGAGGAUACUCUGGUGGAGGCUCGCAGCGGUUCUGACGUGCAAAUCGAUCGUCAAAUUUGGGCAUAGGGGCGAGAGACUAAUCGAACCAUCUAGUAGCUGGUUCCUGCCGAAGUUUCCCUCAGGAUAGCAGUAACGUUUUCAGUUUUAUGAGGUAAAGCGAAUGAUUAAAGGCCUGGGGGUUGAAACAACCUUCACCUAUUCUCAAACUUUAAAUAUGUAAGAAGUCCUUGUUACUUGAUUGACCGUGGACAUUUGAAUGCACCGUUACUAGUGGGCCAUUUUUGGUAAGCAGAACUGGCAAUGCGGGAUGAACCGAACGCGGGGUUAAGGUGCCAGAAUGCACGCUCAUCAGACACCACAAAAGGUGUUAGUUCAUCUAGACAGCAGGACGGUGGCCAUGGAAGUCGGAAUCCGCUAAGGAGUGUGUAACAACUCACCUGCCGAAUGAACUAGCCCUGAAAAUGGAUGGCGCUCAAGCGUGCUACCCAUACCCCGCCGCCAGGGCAGAGAUUACGCCCUGGCGAGUAGGCAGGCG